rnacentral:lncRNA from 1 species
AUAGUCUCUCCUCAAAGUCUCCUGGAAUUGAUUUUUUUUAAACUUCAGUAAAAUUUCAGGAUACAAAUUCAAUGUACAAAAGCCAGUAGUGUCAAUAACAUCCAAGCUGAGAGCCACACAAUAGCAAAGACAUGGCGUCAACCUAGACACUCAUCAAUGUUGGACUCGAUAAAGAAAAUAUGGUACAUGUACACCCUGGAGUAUAUGAAGCCAUAAAAAACUGAAGUAAUGUCCUUCGUGGCAUCAUGGAUGCAGCUGGAGGCCAUUAACCUAAGCAAAUUAACAUAGGAACACAAAACAAAAUACCAAACAUGUUCUUACUAGUAAGUGGGGCUGAACACUGAGUACACAUGGACACCA